GGACAACAGUUGGAAACGACUGCUAAGACCCGAUGUGCCUUUCGGGGUGAAAUAAUUUAUUGCCUGAAGAAGAGCUUGCGUCUGAUUAGCUAGUUGGUGGGGUAAGAGCCUACCAAGGCGACGAUCAGUAGCUGGGUCUGAGAAGGAUGNAGCAGCCACACUGGGGACUGGAGACACGGGCCCAGAAACUCCUACGGGGAGGGGCAGCAGUGGGGGAAUUUUCCCGCAAUGGGGCGAAAGCCUGACGGAGCAACGCCGCGUGAGGGAGGAAGGCUCUUGGGUUGUAAACCUCUUUUGUUAGGGAAGAAAAAAAUGACGGUACCUAACGAAUCAGCAUCGGCUAACUCCGUGCCAGCAGCCGCGGUAAUACGGAGGAUGCAAGCGUUAUCCGGAAUUAUUGGGCGUAAAGCAUCCGCAGGUGGUGAUUCAAGUCGGCUGUUAAAGAUUGAAGCUUAACUUCAAAAAGGCAGUGGAAACUGAAUCACUAGAGGUCAGUAGGGGUAGCAGGAAUUCCCAGUGUAGCGGUGAAAUGCGUAGAGAUUGGGAAGAACAUCGGUGGCGAAAGCGUGCUACUGGGCUGAAUCUGACACUGAGGGACGAAAGCUAGGGGAGCAAAAGGGAUUAGAUACCCUGUAGUCCUAGC
rnacentral:rRNA from 1 species